rnacentral:rRNA from 1 species
UUUGGAAUAUUGCACAAUGGGGGGAAACCCUGAUGCAGCGACGCCGCGUGGAGGACGAAGGAUCUAGGUCUGUAAACUCCUUUUGCCAGGAAAGACUUAGGACGGUACCUGGCGAAUAAGCCCCGGCUAACUACGUGCCAGCAGCCGCGGUAAGACGUAGGGGGCGAGCGUUGUCCGGAUUUACUGGGCGUAAAGAGCGCGUAGGCGGCUAGUUAAGUGAGAAGUGAAAUCUCCAGGGCUCAACCCGGAAACUGCUUUUCAUACUGGCCAGCUAGAGGGACGCAGGGGUGACUGGAAUUCCCGGUGUAGCGGUGAAAUGCAUUGAUAUCGGGAGGAACUCCAACAGCGAAGGCAGGUCACUGGGCGUUUCCUGACGCUGAGGCGCGAAAGCGUGGGUAGCAAACAGGAUU